AGUGAACGCUGGCGGUAGGCCUAACACAUGCAAGUCGAACGGCAGCACAGUAAGAGCUUGCUCUUACGGGUGGCGAGUGGCGGACGGGUGAGGAAUACAUCGGAAUCUACUUUUUCGUGGGGGAUAACGUAGGGAAACUUACGCUAAUACCGCAUACGACCUACGGGUGAAAGCAGGGGAUCUUCGGACCUUGCGCGAUUGAAUGAGCCGAUGUCGGAUUAGCUAGUUGGCGGGGUAAAGGCCCACCAAGGCGACGAUCCGUAGCUGGUCUGAGAGGAUGAUCAGCCACACUGGAUCUGAGACACGGUCCAGACUCCUACGGGAGGCAGAAGUGGGGAAUAUUGGACAAUGGGCGCAAGCCUGAUCCAGCCAUACCGCGUGGGUGAAGAAGGCCUUCGGGUUGUAAAGCCCUUUUGUUGGGAAAGAAAAGCAGCAGGUUAAUACCCCGCUGUUCUGACGGUACCCAAAGAAUAAGCACCGGCUAACUUCGUG
rnacentral:rRNA from 1 species